UUUUAGAGAAUUUUUACAAUUUUUCUAUAAGUGCGAAGUGCAGCUUACAUCUGAACACAUUGGCGAAGUGAUUAAUUUGUGUAAAAAAUAUGAAUUGAACGAAGCAGUCGAGGCGUGUUAAAUUCCAUUCAAAAAAUGAUUGACCAACAAUGAGAUGUGUUUUGGUUAUGAAGUGGCCGUUCUUCUUGAACUUGAAAACAAACAGCGAUUUUGUGAGGAAAAAAUUCGAGAAAAUGCACAAGAAUCUUGACAUCCGACAGCUUUUUGGAGUGUAACCGCAAAUCGAUUGAGAAUAUUCUACAGUUGAUGGAAUCAAGGUGUAACCCAUUAAUAAUCGAAUGGUCAAAGGCAGAAAAUAUGCGAAAUGGCAUCGACUUGAAUCCAUUGAAGCUGAGAGUGCAAUUGGGUGAUUUAUUCCCAUUGGAUGAACUAAACGAGGAAGAGUUUCUCGCUUCCACGUCUAAAUAUGUAGGCUUUGUGUCAGACCAAGAAAUUAAAGCCAUGACUUGGAAUACUAAAUCUCUAACACGAUGUGUUUCCACACCGAAUAUAGAGUUAAAAAUCGAAAAUAGGUUUAUUUAUUUUAAAUUAAGGUUGAAGCUGUUGUAUUUCCAGAAUGUAGGAUGUAAUGUGCUCUAAUGUAUAAAAUGGAGAAAAAGGUUGUGGUGUAUUUAUUGAGACGACCAAGAAAAUACAGCACAUUGGAAAGACCGGAUUAUUUUUUUUGUUGCGACAGUGAGUCCUUUAAUUUCAAAACAUACAAUCAGCCUUCUGGAUUUUCCAUCAACUGUAUAACACGGAAUAUCUGCAUAGCAAGAACAAUAUCUGUACAACACGAAACACUCAUUUUCACGGCAAUACAAUCGGGUUGUGGUC